UGCAGUUGCCAUUGAGAAGGUUAAACUCCGAGUCUUAAAGCAAUAUGAUUAUGACAGCAGCACCAUCCGAAAGAAGAUAUUUCAAGAGGCACUAGUUCAAAUCACACUUCCCACUGUGCAGAAGGCACUGGCGUCCACAUGCAAACCAGAGCUUCAGAAAUACGAGCAGUUCAUCUUUGCAGAUCAUACCAAUAUGAUUCACGUUGAAAAUGUCUAUGAGGAGAUUUUACAUCAGAUCCUGCUUGAUGAAACUCUGAAAGGUGCCUAUAUUCCAAUAAAAUGUUCAUCCUUGAAGAGCUGACCAGAUGUCAUUUAUUUGGAAGGAGGCUGGUUUCAUCUUUUAAGCAGAUGUCACAUUUGAAUUGUGAGGUACAGCCCUCUGAAACGAAAAGGCGAGUCAUUCUUGCUGUAUCAUGGACCUUUUACUUUUCUGUUGUCACGAAGGAAUCUGCAGGGAAACCACUUAAUGUCAGGUGUAAUUAUGCUUUGAUAAUGCAUAUGCUUACGUCUCCAGGAAUUGGAUCACAUUCAUAAUACAGCAGUGGGCAAUUAUUCUUGAUGUAAUUGAACUGCUGUUCAAACUUAAAUUUAUUUUCAAUGGG
rnacentral:lncRNA from 1 species